rnacentral:lncRNA from 1 species
GUCGAUUUCGCUUUCCUAAACUCAACCGUACUAUUUCUCUGUCUCUCUAAAUAGAGAUCCAACAACUUGGACUGUCUUCGUUACUCCUCCCCAAACCCCUAAACUCUCUUCCUCCCAUUCACAUCACCAACAAUCAUCUCUCUCCUUCGAUUCUCCGCCCAAGAAAAAAGAUUAUCCGGUAAUUCAGCCGCCGCCGGCUCAAUCUCCUCCACCCGUUCCCUCGCCACCGGUGCACUACAAUCAUAAGUCCGACGCCUCAUCAUUUGCUUUCCUUUCGUCGUUUUGCUUUUUUUUUUUUAAUUCUUUGCCCCCUUCUGCUGCCUUCUCCACUUUAUUACCCAAAAGAAGAAGAGGUCUUUCGAAUAUCUUAGUAAUUUCUACUUUGUGUAUCGUCUAAUUUGUUAUGAUACUGUUUAAUUCUUUAUUUUCUCUGUGUUUUGUCAUCCAAGAUUUUGUAUGCACUGUUCUUCCAUUCUAGUUAAUUUAUUGUGCUUUUUAAAAAUCAUUUCAGAGACAUGUUAUUCUUGUAUUGAUAUCAAUAAACGGCUGCCUGGGCCACGUUUUGGUUUCUUCCAUAAUUUCUUGACUAAUUUUUGAUGCUUUUAUCUAUUAUGAUGGACACUGGACAUCAUUUGCUUGAGUAUCAAACUGAUACAAGGGAAAUGCAGAGACACUUGGAUAGAAGGCAUAAGCUUUAUUAGUGUUAUUGAUAUAUCGUAGGCCUAGGCUAUACAAAUUUUCUUCUUUUUACUGUUAUAAUUAGGGGUGAAGAACAUCUUGAUUGUGUGUUGUUUAAAUUGUUGAACUGUUUGGACCUUAGAGUUGGAGGCAGUUGGUUGUUUAACAAGUUUUAGGUUUGAACAAUAAUGUUGGUUAUUUAGGUUGUAUUCAUAUUUUGGGAUUGUGAAUAGGACUAAUAAACAUAGUAUUUACUUGCAAUACUUUUGUAGCUUGCAAACUUGUCAACUUUGAUGGCUUUUCAUAUUCUCUAUAAACUGCAUCUGAUUGUUGUUAUAUUGCUGAAACUCUUGGUUUUUAUAGUGAUUAUUGAAUGGACAAUUAUUCCCAACCCCAGAACCCAUCAACAAUGCCAUUGUAAGUUUGGACUUAUGCAGUUAUGCUACAUGCUUGCUUGUGAUUUGAUGCUCUUGUAAUCUAGUUUGUAUAAUUAUUUGACAAAACUUGAUGGUAAACCAUGGUGAAAGAGGCUUAUUGUUGGGUUUAUGGAGGAGGAAUUUGUUGUGUUUUAUGUACUAUGUACUAGUGGUGAAGGUUGUUCAGAAUAUAUGGGCGACCAUUUAACAAGAGAAUUCCAAGCAGGCAGAUCACACAAAGUGAACGAGUGAGAAGGUACAAGGGAAAUUGAUAAUAUAGGAAAUUGAUAUUUUCAUAAGGGAAAUUGAUAUUAAGUUUAAAU